GCUCAUGUCGGACAAACGCUUCUUCUUCCUCCACUUCGUUUCCUCCGUUUCACGAUUUUUUCACCUGCUUACAAUCAAUUUCAUCCCCACUCCUGUACAAGUUUAAUCUCAUUAAUGGAUUCUUUUCGAUUUCUCCAUCUGAGAUUCUAUAUAAGUCUCCUACUUUGUUUAUUUUUUUUCAUCAAGCUUUGUGAAAUCCUCUCGACUGUGCAAUUGCGAUGACGAUUUCCUGUCUUUCCGACUCACUGAAGACGAACAGCGAAGCGGCGGUCCCCUCGAGUCCGGUUAAACCCGUCGCACAAACCGGUGUCCCUUCCUGCUUGAAGAACAAUAGCGACUUCCAAGACACCAUUUUCCGAAUUGAAGCCGGAGCCUCUCAGUCGAAUCGUUGUCUCACGCAUCUCCGUUUUGGGAAGCUACCAAUGUGAAGUAUAUGUGAUCGCUGCCGAUCCUCAGGUGACUGUCUCAUCUAUAUAAAUUGAAACCCCAAGUAAAUACCGCAGUUAACUAUGCGUGUUUUUUUAUGUUUCACAGAUAAUUGAGUUUUUAUGCACUGCCAAAUUGAAUGAAACUCAUGCCGAUAAAGGUUGAUAGGGACCUCCAUCAGUUCAUUACUGAGAUUUGUAGCACCUACACAUUCCAGCUCAAGCUAACCUCUUUCAAUUUCACUUCAAAGCACCAAACCUUCACCAUUUCCCCUAUAUUUACUGUGCUGGAUCGUCCACCUGUGUCAGCCUUUGUUAUAGAAGGAGGUUCAGAUGUCCCUCAAGCCAAGCUGCCUGGAGUGGACACAAAAGGAUCAGCUGUUAUACCAAGUGAUGAUUGCGGUGUUUCAGUAUCAACCACGCAGCAACUUGAUCCAGAAGAAAAUGGACCGAAGAAGGCACAUUUGGAAUAGUACAAGAAAUACCAAGUUUAUUAAGAAGCUUUCUCCUCAUGAGUAUUAUCGUUGUGCAUUGAUCCCGUGAUUCCCACUGCUUAUGGUGGUUGUCGUGGACCCAUUGGUGUUUUUUCUUCCUGCGUUGCUUUCUUGAGGAUCAGUUGGACGUGUAGACCGCGAACGUUCCAUAGUAGCACGCUUUGGUAUUAGAGACAUGUUCUAGAGAAGCUUACAUGUCCCCUGAUCAGUACUCCAGUGACAGGUACGCUGCCUUCGCAGAUCAGUUUGUUUAUGGUGAUAGAUACAGUCGUGGACCACAUCCUCCAACGAGUUAAUACAGAGCCCCAUCUUUUGACAGAGACGUAGUCCUAAGUGCAGGAAGUGACAGCUACUAUUGUGAUAGAGUUGGUGAGCCCAUAUGUGGAGGAGAUGAGGGAAGAGGAUAUAGAAGCCGAGCCAGUGGUCCUUAUGAUAGGCCGAGCCUAAGUGGUGGUAGUUAUCCAUUGUCCUCUACUUUUAACAUUACUAAGGCAUGAACGAAAUGAUAUUGAUUGUUUGCUUGGUUAAGGUUUAGUUACUCUUAUGUGGUAACUGUUAAGGUUUAAUACUAUUUAAAUAAAUUCAAUGGUUUAUGUGAUUAA